rnacentral:rRNA from 1 species
CAGGGCGGGUGAUGGGGAGGAUCAGCAUCAGGGGGGAGAGGGAGAGGGAGAGAGAAUAUCAGAUGUCAACAAAUCUGCCGUCCUUGCGGCUCGUUUAGAAAGAGGGUCCAAGGUGGUUCCAUUCCCAUCCCCCCCCAGAGGAGAGAGGAGAGAGAGAGGCCAGGCCAAACGACGCCAAUCCAAAACCCCCAAAAGGAGCAAGGGAAGAGAGAGAGAGAGAGUGGGGAGUGAGGAGCAGAGAGAGAGCAAACCAAGAUACUCCUACAUCCGCAGACAAGUGGUUCGUUCGUUCGUUCGGGGACGAGGACGAGGACGAGAACGAGAACCCACCGCUUUCUCUCCCUCUUCCUCGCCCUCCCUGGCCCGGCCCCAGCAAAUCCGGUUCCGGCCGAACCCGUCCCGGAUUCGUCGGAGCUCCCAGCGUCCUCCUCCCCGAUCGCCCCCCCUGCCGCCGCCAGAGAGAUUUGCCUCUUUUUUCUAGGACAUAUAGAUAGAUAAAUAAAUAUCCUGCCUUGGUUGGGUUGGGUUGGGCGGGUUCUUGGGCGGCGCGGGGUUUCUUGGGGCAUGGCCGUGGCGGCGGUGCCGGACACGACGCUCGCCCGCCGAAUGCUGCGGGUCGUCAGGCUCAACCCGCUGCAGCGCAGCGCCAAGAAUCCCUGAGGUUAUUUCUCUUGAAGUGAUAUUCAGAUUGGAAGGUAGUAUUGAUUCACCUGAGCAAGUCAAGCUGUCCAGUUAGCUCAAAGCAUUAAAGAUUGGAAUUUCACACGCGCAUUGCAUUCACACUGUGAUUUCCCUUUGGUGUCCUGUGAUGUGAUGAUCAGUGCUGGUUGCCGUCCGGGUCAAGGGGAAUUUUAGCAUGAUUGCUACAUGCUCAUUGUUUUGACUGUAAUACUAAUGGGAGCUAAAGUGGAAGGUGAGAGUUACAAUCCUGGAUACUAUGCUACAGGGGAUCUGCACAUGGACUCAAAUGGUUGGCGCUCUCCAUACUAUGAGGAUAAGACAUCAAAUGGGCAGUUGUACAAUGGCUUCAUGACGAAGCAGGCAGACGGUUAUUCAGAAUACGACAACGAAACGCUAAAGCGCACAAUGCUUUCACAUGAAGCUAUGUUUAGACAGCAGGUUUAUGAACUGCACCGGGUUUACAAAAUACAGAGAGACCUGAUGAAGCAUUAUGAAAACAAAGACGCAUAUGCAUACCCAGAACUGGCAGAUGCAUCACAGACAAAUUCGUCAUCACAAGUUCCACCAAAUGGCUCAAAGAUGAUAUGGCAGAUGCCUCUGGUGGCCAAAACAUACGGAGAGGCUACUGUUGCAGUGCACACUGAUACAAACCACUCCUUGAAGUUCCUUAGUGAUGGCAGUGUCCUGCCCUCUCCAAAUGGAUUCCCCUCAAAUGGUGUUGCUUUAAAUACCAAGCAAGGCAUUAUUGACCUUGAGCUUCCAGCUGAUCAUUAUAUAGAUGAUGACAACACAUCAGAUAAUAAGCCUAUAGAUUUCCUUGGUGUAGAUUCGGGUACAAAACCUCCGAAUGAUGCCAGGGUCACAUUCAGUGGUGCAGAAGGCCUGGGGAGGUUCAAUGAUAAUAGCUCAACCUCUGGUUUGCUGACUACCAAUAAACCGGGAGGCUGCCAUGUCGCUGACCUGAAUGAGCCAAUUACUGGGAUGCAUAUGGGUGGAACAAACGGGUCCGUAUCCAGAGCUCUCCUGUAUACCUUGGAGAACUCUUGGCACCAAUCUGCAGUGAGAUCAAGCACAGCUAACUUUGGUUUCAAUAAAGAAUACUCCAAAGAGAAGCAUACUGACGAAGGAACAAGCUCAAAUUUCCUUGAUGCAAGUGCCAAACUAAGACAGGAGGAGAAAUCAUUGAUUGAUAAAGGAAAACAAGUCAGCAACCAAUCUUUUUUUACACCCAGAUACAGCAAUGUUGAUCUGCAAAAAUCCUUCAAAGUUGCUGAUGGGAGAUCUGCAACCAAUGAGUUUAUUUACCAUGGUCAAAACAGUUCAGUUGGAUGGUUUUCAAAAGGUCCUAUGGGAGCAUCUCCCAUCAAUAAUUUUGCUAGACUUGACCAUCCACAUCAUUCAAGUAUUGGUACACCUGUUGCUCCAAUCUCCAUUCCUCACAUAGACCAUCCUUCCGUCGCCUCUCCUAUAGGUUCUUGCACAGUGGACCCAAGGAGCAGUGUUAUCAACAAUGCUUUCCAGCGAGUUCCAAGUUUCAAUGGAUCUUCAACUGUUAAUUCAUACAAGAGUCCUAGUGCUGUGACCCAAAGCAUUGGACCUUCAAUUCAUAAGCUGAAAAGAUUUGAUAAUUUGGAUGGUAGUUACUUUGGCUUUCCACCUGAUCCAUUUUCCGCAUCACGAUCCAGACAACAGGUUGCAAUUUCGAGCGAGUUGGAGCAAAGGAACUGCCUGAUGUUUGAACAUUCAGCAGCACGGCAGUCUCAUGGGUAUCCUCAGUCCACAAACGGCAAGGGCACAAAGAACUUUAAUUUGAAUGAAGCACUGUCAGAUGGUCUGGAAGAGCUUGUAGAACAGGAUGGGAGAUCUGUUGGUAGUUUGCAGCAUAGUAAAGGUGAAGGAUCAGUAUUUGGGAUCUCUUGGCUAAAAAAUAAAGCUACUUGUGCUGACCCAACAGGGCUGGAAAAGCAAAGAAAGAUGCUUGGCCAUUCCAACGGGACUGCAGCAGACACGAAAAUCAACAAUAACUUGACGGGAAUAACACCGAUUGUUUGCAAUUUGUCAGAUUCUGCCUCAACGUCCCUAGGUUGCAGAAUUAAGAUAGAUGAUGCUUCUGAAGGCAUCACUGAUAGAACUUGGCUGGUAUGUAAUAAGACUGAGGAGAGUACCACGAGACAUUUACCACUUUCAAGCCAGAAACCCUUGGAUAGAGAUGGACAAGCUGCUGAAGGUGUUGUCAACAAAAGUGGUGCGGCCGUCGUCAGAAAUUUGUUUGAUCUGAAUGAUGAUGUACCACAUGAAGACAACUCAGAGUCAUCAGUAGUGUCACAUGAAUGUGAUGUGGCGGCCUUACAGAACAACCAUGCUAAGCGCACAUUUUUGUUUGACUUAGAAGAAGUGCCAGCUUGUGAAGAUGGUGCUGCCUGGACUUCUCAACAGGAAUGCACACCUUCUGGCAAACUUGGUGCAUCCAAGGAAGUUGAUUUGUGUUUUCCAUCCGCUACAGAUGCAGCGCAGAUUAUUCUUGCGUUGUCAACGGAUGUGCCGACCACCACAGGCACACCCGAUGAUAUGUUGCAGUGGUUUGCGGAGCUCGCAAUAUCAAACAUGGAUGACCAUGCCGAGCAAGCAAAAGUCCAGGGUUGCAUCGAUAAUUCCAGUGAUGAUGGUUCAGACUCAUUUGAAGCCUUGACACUGAAGCUGGAAGAGUGCAAGACCGAUGAGCGCUGGACCAGGACACCAGAACCACCACUGACAGAUGAUGACCAAGCUGUUUCAGCGGUGAACCUGCUGUCCAAGCCAAAAAGAGGACCGCAAAGGAAGCGGCGGCAGAAGCGAGACUUCCAGAAGGACAUCUUGCCCGGGCUUUCAUCGCUUUCCCGGCCUAAGAUCAUAGAGGACAUUCAGCUAAUUGAGGGGUUAGUACAGGCAUCUGGUGGAUCAUGGGAGUCGAGUUUAACCAGGCGAGCGCGUGGUGGGCGAACAAGAGGUAGAAAGCCCCGCAAAAACGAGCCAGCUACCGUAGAGAUAGAAGCCGAGGCCGAGGCGAGCCCGCCCUCGAAACCCAACUCCAUUGGCUUAGAAGCUGAUGAAAGGGGCAUGGUUAGCUGGGGGCGAACAACAAGGCGGUGUCGCAAGCCAAGAUGCCCGUUGGGCAAUAGCGUCGCCGCUUCGUCCUGAACGACCUCUGAUACUGGUCGGUUUCGGAUUCAGAUUCUCCAUCAGAGAUUGCGGUGGACUGGUAUAAAGGUAAAAAAAAAUAUCACAGCCAUGAGUGUGCAUACUCUGCUGGCCUGUUUGGCCGGCCUCCCCCCUGCAGAGAUUUCAGGUCGAAACAUGGUGUACAUUUUUUUCUAUAAUAAAUUCUUAAACUAGUCUAUAUAUGACAAUUUCUGUAACAGCGUUGUAUUAAGCUGGGUCCAGGGCCUGAGCUGAGAGGCCUGCUGUAAUUCUUGAGAUAGUGGCGAGGUACCUUGACUGGCCGGUACUCGGAAAUCAAAGAGGCUAAUCGGUGUAGUUCUAUAUAGUUUUAUCAUGUUUUGUUUUGUGUUUCUGUAUGUAAGUUUCUGUGUUUCUGUAUGUAACUUGCUGCUUCAUUUGGCUGCAAUUUUUGCUUCGCGGCCUGUAACUCAGCGCUGCCUAGUUGGAGUGGAGACUGGACACCAC